UAACGGGGCUAAACCAUGCACCGAAGCUGCGGCAGCGACACUGUGUGUUGUUGGGUAGGGGAGCGUUCUGUAAGCCUGUGAAGGUGGCCUGUGAGGGUUGCUGGAGGUAUCAGAAGUGCGAAUGCUGACAUAAGUAACGAUAAAGCGGGUGAAAAGCCCGCUCGCCGGAAGACCAAGGGUUCCUGUCCAACGUUAAUCGGGGCAGGGUGAGUCGACCCCUAAGGCGAGGCCGAAAGGCGUAGUCGAUGGGAAACGGGUUAAUAUUCCCGUACUUGGUGUUACUGCGAAGGGGGGACGGAGAAGGCUAUGUUGGCCGGGCGACGGUUGUCCCGGUUUAAGCGUGUAGGUGUGUGUUCCAGGUAAAUCCGGUUCACUUUAACACUGAGGCGUGACGACGAGGCACUACGGUGCUGAAGCAACAAAUGCCCUGCUUCCAGGAAAAGCCUCUAAGCAUCAGGUAACAUCAAAUCGUACCCCAAACCGACACAGGUGGUCAGGUAGAGAAUACCAAGGCGCUUGAGAGAACUCGGGUGAAGGAACUAGGCAAAAUGGUGCCGUAACUUCGGGAGAAGGCACGCUGACACGUAGGUGAAGUGAUUUACUCACGGAGCUGAAGUCAGUCGAAGAUACCAGCUGGCUGCAACUGUUUAUUAAAAACACAGCACUGUGCAAACACGAAAGUGGACGUAUACGGUGUGACGCCUGCCCGGUGCCGGAAGGUUAAUUGAUGGGGUCAGCGCAAGCGAAGCUCCUGAUCGAAGCCCCGGUAAACGGCGGCCGUAACUAUAACGGUCCUAAGGUAGCGAAAUUCCUUGUCGGGUAAGUUCCGACCUGCACGAAUGGCGUAAUGAUGGCCAGGCUGUCUCCACCCGAGACUCAGUGAAAUUGAACUCGCUGUGAAGAUGCAGUGUACCCGCGGCAAGACGGAAAGACCCCGUGAACCUUUACUAUAGCUUGACACUGAACAUUGAGCCUUGAUGUGUAGGAUAGGUGGGAGGCUUUGAAGCGUGGACGCCAGUCUGCGUGGAGCCGACCUUGAAAUACCACCCUUUAAUGUUUGAUGUUCUAACGUGGACCCGUGAUCCGGGUUGCGGACAGUGUCUGGUGGGUAGUUUGACUGGGGCGGUCUCCUCCUAAAGAGUAACGGAGGAGCACGAAGGUUGGCUAAUCCUGGUCGGACAUCAGGAGGUUAGUGCAAUGGCAUAAGCCAGCUUGACUGCGAGCGUGACGGCGCGAGCAGGUGCGAAAGCAGGUCAUAGUGAUCCGGUGGUUCUGAAUGGAAGGGCCAUCGCUCAACGGAUAAAAGGUACUCCGGGGAUAACAGGCUGAUACCGCCCAAGAGUUCAUAUCGACGGCGGUGUUUGGCACCUCGAUGUCGGCUCAUCACAUCCUGGGGCUGAAGUAGGUCCCAAGGGUAUGGCUGUUCGCCAUUUAAAGUGGUACGCGAGCUGGGUUUAGAACGUCGUGAGACAGUUCGGUCCCUAUCUGCCGUGGGCGCUGGAGAACUGAGGGGGGCUGCUCCUAGUACGAGAGGACCGGAGUGGACGCAUCACUGGUGUUCGGGUUGUCAUGCCAAUGGCACUGCCCGGUAGCUAAAUGCGGAAGAGAUAAGUGCUGAAAGCAUCUAAGCACGAAACUUGCCCCGAG
rnacentral:rRNA from 1 species